rnacentral:rRNA from 1 species
CUGCUGCCUUCCGUAGGAGUCUGGUCCGUGUCUCAGUACCAGUGUGGGGGACCUUCCUCUCAGAACCCCUACGCAUCGUCGCCUCGGUGGGCCGUUACCCCGCCGACUAGCUAAUGCGCCGCAUGCCCAUCCCCCGCCGGAAUCGCUUCCUUUGGCCGCAGACCCAUGCAGGUCCGCGGCGUUACGCGGUAUUAGUCGGGAUCUCUCCCGGUUAUCCCCCUGCGGGGGGCAGGUCGCAUACGUGUUACUCACCCGUGCGCCGGUCGCCGG